rnacentral:rRNA from 1 species
AGAGUUUGAUCAUGGSUCASAGUGAACGCUGGCGGYGUGCUUAACAGCAUGCCAGAUGCUCGAAUCGCGUAAGCGAUGGUAAAGUACGCCUUGCUAUUUCUGCUUCGACUGAGUGGCGCACGGGCUGACGCUCAAACURUAUUUAAUGUACCCCAAAGACUGGGAUAGCCASUGGAAACSGUGAUUAAUACUAUAUACACCUUCUUAUCCUAAGGGAAGAAGGGAAAUGUCUUUUCSCUUUGGGAUCAUGACUAUAUCUCUAUCACCUAGUUGGUGAGGUAAUGGYUCACCRAKGUAAUGACAGCGCGAUA